GUGCCAGCAGCCGCGGUAAUACCGGCAGCCCGAGUGAUGGCCGAUCUUAUUGGGCCUAAAGCGUCCGUAGCUGGCUGCGCAAGUCCAUCGGGAAAUCCACUCGCUCAACGAGUGGCCGUCCGGUGGAAACUCCACACCUUGGGACCGGAAGGCUCGAAGGGUACGUCCGGGGUAGGAGUGAAAUCCUGUAAUCCUGGACGGACCGCCGGUGGCGAAAGCGCCUCGGGAAGACGGACCCGACAGUGAGGGACGAAAGCUGGGAUCUCGAACCGGAUUAGAUACCCCGGUAGUCU
rnacentral:rRNA from 1 species